rnacentral:rRNA from 1 species
GAUUAGCCAUGCUAGUUGCACGAGUUUAGACUCGUAGCAUAUAGCUCAGUAACACGUGGCCAAACUACCCUACAGACCGCGAUAACCUCGGGAAACUGAGGCCAAUAGCGGAUAUAACUUUCAUGCUGGAGUGCAGAGAGUUAGAAACGUUCCGGCGCUGUAGGAUGUGGCUGCGGCCGAUUAGGUAGAUGGUGGGGUAACGGCCCACCAUGCCGAUAAUCGGUACAGGUUGUGAGAGCAAGAGCCUGGAGACGGUAUCUGAGACAAGAUACCGGGCCCUACGGGGCGCAGCAGGCGCGAAACCUUUACACUGCACGACAGUGCGAUAGGGGGACUCCGAGUGUGAGGGCAUAUAGCCCUCGCUUUUCUGUACCGUAAGGUGGUACAGGAACAAGGACUGGGCAAGACCGGUGCCAGCCGCCGCGGUAAUACCGGCAGUCCAAGUGAUGGCCGAUAUUAUUGGGCCUAAAGCGUCCGUAGCUUGCUGUGUAAGUCCAUUGGGAAAUCGACCAGCUCAACUCGUCGGCGUCCGGUGGAAACUACACAGCUUGGGGCCGAGAGACUCGACGGGUACGUCCGGGGUAGGAGUGAAAUCCUGUAAUCCUGGACGGACCACC